GCAGCAGCCGCGGUAAUACGGAGGGUGCAAGCGUUAUCCGGAUUCACUGGGUUUAAAGGGUGUGUAGGCGGAUAUUUAAGUCAGUGGUGAAAUCUCCAGGCUCAACCUGGAAACUGCCAUUGAUACUAUUUAUCUUGAAUUCUGUUGAGGUGGGCGGAAUACAUCAUGUAGCGGUGAAAUGCUUAGAUAUGAUGUAGAACACCGAUUGCGAAGGCAGCUCACUAAACAGCGAUUGACGCUGAGGCACGAAAGCGUGGGGAUCAAACAGGAUUAGAUACCCUGGUAGUCCACGCCCUAAACGAUGAUUACUCGACAUACGCGAUACACUGUGUGUGUCUGAGCGAAAGCAUUAAGUAAUCCACCUGGGAAGUACGACCGCAAGGUUGAAACUCAAAGGAAUUGACGGGGGCCCGCACAAGC
rnacentral:rRNA from 1 species